GCGCGCGCAGGCGGCCUUUUAAGUCUGAUGUGAAAGCCCACGGCUCAACCGUGGAGGGUCAUUGGAAACUGGAAGGCUUGAGUGCAGAAGAGAAGAGCGGAAUUCCACGUGUAGCGGUGAAAUGCGUAGAGAUGUGGAGGAACACCAGUGGCGAAGGCGGCUCUUUGGUCUGUAACUGACGCUGAGGCGCGAAAGCGUGGGGAGCGAACAGGAUUAGAUACCCUGGUAGUCCACGCCGUAAACGAUGAGUGCUAAGUGUUGGGGGGUUUCCGCCCCUCAGUGCUGCAGCUAACGCAUUAAGCACUCCGCCUGGGGAGUACGGCCGCAAGGCUGAAACUCAAAGGAAUUGACGGGGGCCCGCACAAGCGGUGGAGCAUGUGGUUUAAUUCGAAGCAACGCGAAGAACCUUACCAGGUCUUGACGGGGCGCUGACCGGUCUGGAGACAGAUCUUCCCCUUCGGGGGCAGCGGUGACAGGUGGUGCAUGGUUGUCGUCAGCUCGUGUCGUGAGAUGUUGGGUUAAGUCCCGCAACGAGCGCAACCCUUGAUCUUAGUUGCCAGCAUUUAGUUGGGCACUCUAAGGUGACUGCCGGUGACAAACCGGAGGAAGGUGGGGAUGACGUCAAAUCAUCAUGCCCCUUAUGACCUGGGCUACACACGUGCUACAAUGGAUGGUAC
rnacentral:rRNA from 1 species